GACCUCGUAGCUCAGCUGAAAGAGCAAACGCCGUACCAAAGCGUGGGUUCUAUCCACGCAUGGGUUCGAAUCCCGUCAGGGUCA
rnacentral:tRNA from 1 species